CCUACGGGUGGCAGCAGUGGGGAAUAUUGCACAAUGGGGGAAACCCUGAUGCAGCGACGCCGCGUGAAGGAAGAAGUAUUUCGGUAUGUAAACUUCUAUCAGCAGGGAAGAAAAUGACGGUACCUGACUAAGAAGCCCCGGCUAACUACGUGCCAGCAGCCGCGGUAAUACGUAGGGGGCAAGCGUUAUCCGGAUUUACUGGGUGUAAAGGGAGCGUAGGCGGUUUAGCAAGUCAGAAGUGAAAGCCCGGGGCUCAACUCCGGGACUGCUUUUGAAACUGGCGUUCUUGAGUGGGCGAGAAGUAUGCGGAAUGCGUGGUGUAGCGGUGAAAUGCAUAGAUAUCACGCAGAACUCCGAUUGCGAAGGCAGCAUACCGGCGCCCAACUGACGCUGAAGCACGAAAGCGUGGGUAUCGAACAGGAUUAGAUACCCCAGUAGUC
rnacentral:rRNA from 1 species